GACGAACGCUGGCGGCGUGCUUAACACAUGCAAGUCGAACGAAGUGGCGAACGGGUGAGUAACGCGUAAUCAACCUGCCCUUCAGAGGGGGACAACAGUUGGAAACGACUGCUAAUACCGCAUACUGAAGGAGGGGAUUGCGUCGGAUUAGCUAGUUGGCGGGGUAACGGCCCACCAAGGCGAUGAUAAGUAGCCGGUCUUCGAGGAUUAACGGCCACAUUGGGACUGAGAAACGGCCCAGACUCCUACGGGAGGCCGCAGGGGGGAAACUUCCGAAAUGGACGAAAGUCUGAAGGAGCAACGCCGCGUGAGUGAUGAAGGCCUUCGGGUUGGAAAACUCUGUUAAUCGGGACGCGGUACCGGAAUAGAAAGCCACGGCUAACUACGUGCCAGCAGCCGCGGUAAUUC
rnacentral:rRNA from 1 species